rnacentral:rRNA from 1 species
UACAGAGGGUGCUAGCGUUGUUCGGAAUCAUUGGGCGUAAAGGGCGUGUAGGCGGUUUGUUAAGUCAUGUGUGAAAUCCCUCGGCUCAACCGGGGAACGACGCAUGAAACUGGCAAGCUAGAGUACCAAAGAGGGGGGUGGAAUUCCCGGUGUAGCGGUGAAAUGCGUAGAUAAUCGGGAGGAACACCUGUGGCGAAGGCGGCCCCCUGGUUGGAUACUGACGCUGAGACGCGAAAGCGUGGGGAGCAAACAGGG